UACGAAGGGUGCAAACGUUAUUCGGAAUCACUGGGCGUAAAGGGUGCGUAGACGGCAUGUUAAGUUCGUUGUUAAAGGCUCCGGCCUAACCGGAGUACCGCGAUGAAAACUGGCGUACUAGAGGGUGAGAGAGAGAAGUGGAAUUCCUGGAGUAGCGGUAAAAUGCGUGGAUCUCAGGAGGAACACCAAUGGCGAAGGCAGCUUCUUGGCUCAUUCCUGACGUUGAGGCACGAAAGCGUGGGGAGCAAACAGG
rnacentral:rRNA from 1 species